rnacentral:rRNA from 1 species
AUUGAACGCUGGCGGCAGGCUUAACACAUGCAAGUCGAGCGGGGGAAGGUAGCUUGCUACCGGACCUAGCGGCGGACGGGUGAGUAAUGCUUAGGAAUCUGCCUAUUAGUGGGGGACAACAUCUCGAAAGGGAUGCUAAUACCGCAUACGUCCUACGGGAGAAAGCAGGGGAUCUUCGGACCUUGCGCUAAUAGAUGAGCCUAAGUCGGAUUAGCUAGUUGGUGGGGUAAAGGCCUACCAAGGCGACGAUCUGUAGCGGGUCUGAGAGGAUGAUCCGCCACACUGGGACUGAGACACGGCCCAGACUCCUACGGGAGGCAGCAGUGGGGAAUAUUGGACAAUGGGGGGAACCCUGAUCCAGCCAUGCCGCGUGUGUGAAGAAGGCCUUAUGGUUGUAAAGCACUUUAAGCGAGGAGGAGGCUACUUUAGUUAAUACCUAGAGAUAGUGGACGUUACUCGCAGAAUAAGCACCGGCUAACUCUGUGCCAGCAGCCGCGGUAAUACAGAGGGUGCGAGCGUUAAUCGGAUUUACUGGGCGUAAAGCGUGCGUAGGCGGCUUAUUAAGUCGGAUGUGAAAUCCCCGAGCUUAACUUGGGAAUUGCAUUCGAUACUGGUGAGCUAGAGUAUGGGAGAGGAUGGUAGAAUUCCAGGUGUAGCGGUGAAAUGCGUAGAGAUCUGGAGGAAUACCGAUG